rnacentral:rRNA from 1 species
UACGGGGGGGGCAAGCGUUGUUCGGAAUUACUGGGCGUAAAGGGCGCGUAGGCGGGUGGACAAGUCUCUCGUGAAAGCCCACGGCUCAACCGUGGAAUUGCGGGAGAUACUGUCUGUCUUGAGUCCGGGAGAGGAGGGUGGAAUUCCCAGUGUAGCGGUGAAAUGCGUAGAUAUUGGGAGGAACACCGGUGGCGAAUGCGGCUCUCUGGACCGGUACUGACGCUGCGGCGCGAAAGCUAUGGGAGCAAACGGG